GAUGAAGAACGUAGCGAAAUGCGAUAAGUAAUGUGAAUUGCAGAAUUCAGUGAAUCAUCGAAUCUUUGAACGCAUCUUGCGCUCCUUGGUAUUCCUUGGAGCAUGCCUGUUUGAGUAUCAUGAGCAAACCUCAAAGUCAAUUCCUUUUGUUAAUUCAAUUGGUUUUGCUUUGGACUUGGAGGUCUUGCAGAUUUCACAGUCUGCUCCUCUUAAAUGCAUUAGCUGGAUCUCAGUAAUUAUGCUUGUUUCCACUCGGCGUGAUAAGUAUCACUCGCUGAGGACACUGUUAAAAAGGUGGCCAGGAAAAUACUGAUUGAACCGCUUCUAACGGUCUAUUAAGUUAGACAAUUACCCUUAAGUUUGAUCUCAAAUCAGGUAGGACUACCCGCUGAACUUAAGCAUAUCAAUAAGCGGAGGA
rnacentral:misc_RNA from 1 species